CUAGAGUACUAUAAUGCAGUCGAACGCUUCUUUCCUCCCGAGUGCUUGCACUCAAUUGGAAAGAGGAGUGGCGGACGGGUGAGUAACACGUGGGUAACCUACCCAUCAGAGGGGGAUAACACUUGGAAACAGGUGCUAAUACCGCAUAACAGUUUAUGCCGCAUGGCAUAAGAGUGAAAGGCGCUUUCGGGUGUCGCUGAUGGAUGGACCCGCGGUGCAUUAGCUAGUUGGUGAGGUAACGGCUCACCAAGGCCACGAUGCAUAGCCGACCUGAGAGGGUGAUCGGCCACACUGGGACUGAGACACGGCCCAGACUCCUACGGGAGGCAGCAGUAGGGAAUCUUCGGCAAUGGACGAAAGUCUGACCGAGCAACGCCGCGUGAGUGAAGAAGGUUUUCGGAUCGUAAAACUCUGUUGUUAGAGAAGAACAAGGACGUUAGUAACUGAACGUCCCCUGACGGUAUCUAACCAGAAAGCCACGGCUAACUACGUGCCAGCAGCCGCGGUAAUACGUAGGUGGCAAGCGUUGUCCGGAUUUAUUGGGCGUAAAGCGAGCGCAGGCGGUUUCUUAAGUCUGAUGUGAAAGCCCCCGGCUCAACCGGGGAGGGUCAUUGGAAACUGGGAGACUUGAGUGCAGAAGAGGAGAGUGGAAUUCCAUGUGUAGCGGUGAAAUGCGUAGAUAUAUGGAGGAACACCAGUGGCGAAGGCGGCUCUCUGGUCUGUAACUGACGCUGAGGCUCGAAAGCGUGGGGAGCAAACAGGAUUAGAUACCCUGGUAGUCCACGCCGUAAACGAUGAGUGCUAAGUGUUGGAGGGUUUCCGCCCUUCAGUGCUGCAGCAAACGCAUUAAGCACUCCGCCUGGGGAGUACGACCGCAAGGUUGAAACUCAAAGGAAUUG
rnacentral:rRNA from 1 species